AUUGAACGCUGGCGGCAUGCCUUACACAUGCAAGUCGAACGGCAGCACGGGUGCUUGCACCUGGUGGCGAGUGGCGAACGGGCGAGUAAUACAUCGGAACAUGUCCUGUAGUGGGGGAUAGCCCGGCGAAAGCCGGAUUAAUACCGCAUACGAUCCACGGAUGAAAGCGGGGGACCUUCGGGCCUCGCGCUAUAGGGUUGGCCGAUGGCUGAUUAGCUAGUUGGUGGGGUAAAGGCCUACCAAGGCGACGAUCAGUAGCCGGUCUGAGAGGACGACCAGCCACACUGGGACUGAGACACGGCCCAGACUCCUACGGGAGGCAGCAGUGGGGAAUUUUGGACAAUGGGCGAAAGCCUGAUCCAGCAAUGCCGCGUGUGUGAAGAAGGCCUUCGGGUUGUAAAGCACUUUUGUCCGGAAAGAAAUCCUUGACUCUAAUACAGUCGGGGGAUGACGGUACCGGAAGAAUAAGCACCGGCUAACUACGUG
rnacentral:rRNA from 1 species